GAUGAACGCUGGCGGCGUGCCUAAUACAUGCAAGUCGAGCGAACAGAUGAGGAGCUUGCUCCUCUGACGUUAGCGGCGGACGGGUGAGUAACACGUGGAUAACCUACCUAUAAGACUGGGAUAACUACGGGAAACCGGAGCUAAUACCGGAUAAUAUAUUGAACCGCAUGGUUCAAUAGUGAAAGACGGUUUUGCUGUCACUUAUAGAUGGAUUCGCGCCGCAUUAGCUAGUUGGUAAGGUAACGGCUUACCAAGGCAACGAUGCGUAGCCGACCUGAGAGGGUGAUCGGCCACACUGGAACUGAGACACGGUCCAGACUCCUACGGGAGGCAGCAGUAGGGAAUCUUCCGCAAUGGGCGAAAGCCUGACGGAGCAACGCCGCGUGAGUGAUGAAGGUCUUCGGAUCGUAAAACUCUGUUAUUAGGGAAGAACAAAUGUGUAAGUAACUAUGCACGUCUUGACGGUACCUAAUCAGAAAGCCACGGCUAACUACGUG
rnacentral:rRNA from 1 species